AACAGAUGAUCUAGCCAGACCCCAGAAAACAAGAUACAUAAGCCAUCGAUUCGGCCUCAAAAUUUGAAAGCCAUUUUAAAAGAAAAAACUGUUACAAAUAUUUUUGAGUUUGUAGAAUCCUACUAUUUACAUUGUAGUCUGUUAUAUAAUCCCACAUUUGAUUAACACUAAAAUUUUGGAGCAAAUGAUGAGAUUGACUAUUAUCUUGACCUUUUUAAAAAAAAAACAAAUUAAUCUCUUCUCUUUUUAU